UGGGGUUGUGGCUCAGUGGCAGAGCACUUGCCUAGCAUGUGUGAGGCACUGGGUUCAAUCCUCAGCACCACAA
rnacentral:tRNA from 1 species